rnacentral:lncRNA from 1 species
AACAUUUAUUUAGACAGUGCCAAAUAAUAUCCGUAAUAAGACACUGAAGACUCCUACAAUAAAUUAAUAGUCUAUUUGGGUCCACAAAGAUCCUGGGAUACAGUGAGACGCUCUACAGAAGACAAGGAUAAGACCCCAGAGAGAAAGUUAACAUUCCGAGCUGAACAGGAAGCAAGCCUGGUGCUGGCCCGGUAAUCCCCAUUUUCCUCUACACCAGAAGCCCCCCACCUCAGUUCCUCUGCAGCUCCUUGCUCUUUCCACCUCUCUCGGGUCCUGCCAGCAGGCAUUGCAGAGGCCAUGGAGCUCAUGACCUCUCCCAGUUCUCGCUGGACACUGCAAUGCUGUGGCCGACACCGCCCGCAGACACUGUGCCCUUUGCUCCUGCUCAUUGUGCAGUAAUGGACCAGCUGGCUUUCCUUCAAGGACUAGGCUCCAAAUGUAAUAAUGAAAGCAACACCAUCAACAUCCAGGGGCACAAAUGUUAACUGUAGUAUCUUGUUGAAAAUCAUGUAGAUCGUCCAGGAACAUGCGAACUGAAUUUCUCUCAACUCAAGUAGGAAGGAUUGUUAUAAGUCAGAGUAGGGAGGACAGGUUGCCACGGGGCCCCAGCAGUCACAACACUUAAGAGUUGUCAUUGCUCCCAUUCUGGAACCUUACUCUGGAGUGCUCCAUCCUGUAAGCCAGCUUUAAUAGGCUCCUUCCCUCAGAAGGCACACUCUGCUUGGCUGUGUUUCUAACUGGCCAGCCCUGGCUAUCGCUUAUGUCCAGGCAGCAAAGCUGCCCUUUGAAGGAUGAGUGCCUCUGCAACAGGCACCUGCUUGGGAUUCAUUCCUUCACCCAGGUACCCAGCUGCUGAUGGGAGCAGCUCCUGAGGGGAGGAGCAAAGCAGGGACCAAAAUAACACAACUAUAGAAUGUUCUGAUGCUCAGCUCAGCAAAGAGUAUGGACGGCGUGAGUUUCCAUUCUGCAGAGAUUGGUUCCGGGCUCCGCAUCCCUUGCUAGGAUGAUCUCAGAAGACUUUCCUAUUCCUACCCACUUCCACCUGUGCAGUGGACAGCAGGGCCCUAGGAGGCCUAUGAAGGUCUUGCAGAAAGGUUCAAGCACCUCCAUGAGGUUGAGCCUGA